rnacentral:tRNA from 1 species
UAGCUCAGUUGGUUAGAGCACCGCACUCAUAAUGCGGGGGUCACAAGUUCAAGUCUCGU